GUGUUUGUGUCCUUUUUGUUCUUGGCUGCGAUCUGAAAUUUACGAAGAUUGAGUUGGGUUCGAGCAAUGAUUCUUCAGAGAUAGCUCACCAACAUCUUGGAGAUUACCUGUGUGAGUUUUGGGACUGAGUUAUUUUGUUUUGGUUGAUUAUCUUUUGAUUUCUGUAGCCUCUCGUUCUUCUGUACUCUCACUGGCAGACUGUGUUCGUGAGAAGUGGAAUCCAACAACGCUACUGGUGCCGAUGCUCUAGCGUCGUGCGUGCUCUUCAGAGCAGCGCUUCUCACUAGAUCUGCCUCAGGUCAAAUAUCUUCGUUCUUCUCAGCACGACGGCGAGCCGACCCACUGUCCGUGCUCUUCGGUUCCAGUCUGUGCGUGGAGUUUCUCUGUUUUUGAGGGCAUCGUUUUCUGUUCGUCGAAUCUCUGUUUGCUCUUUGCCAGGACGAAUCAUGGUACAGGUUGAUACAACAGCAGUGCUACCUGUGUCGUGUGCUCAAGGUACCGCGCGUGCUCACUAAGCAGCACUUGCUCUGGUUCUUGCCUGUUGACUUUGAAUCCCAAGAACCCUGUUCAAUCUUUCAGCUUUCUGUGCGAGCAGGUCGACGGUUUCUGCAAUUUUUUUUUAGGCAAGCAGGGUGUUUGUUCGUAGUGAGUCAAGUUGUUUUCUUGUUUGCUUUCCUAGUUUUGCAGGUCUGGCAUCCAGCAAACAAAGCACAACAACGUGUUCACUCUGGUUGGGCUACUCAUCGAGCUAGCACAGAGCAAGCAAGGCCGUUAGUUUAAUUCUGAUGUUCUCCCGUGAUGCCUAGUGCUGUGUUUGUCUUUCUGUUCUUUAGUUGGUGAUUUGUUUAGAAACUAGCACUUGCUCUCGGUUGAAAAUUUCAAGUGCAGUGAGCUGUUUAAUAUUUGUGCAGUCUGAAAUUUCUAGAUAGCCCUCCUCUUAUUUUCAGCUGAUUUUACAUUGGUUUUUUGGUGGCUCUGAUUUUCCGUUUUGCGCAUAUUUUGGUCGUUCGAGCUCCGAUUUGAUUUCCGUCAGUUACGUUGGUCUUCUACCGUUAUGAGGAAUUUUAUCUAAUUGCUCUUGUCACCAGUUGACUUGAGUAAUUCAGUCUCGGGUACUUAUUUGUGUUUGGCGGUGAUUUGGGACAGCGGCC
rnacentral:lncRNA from 1 species